rnacentral:rRNA from 1 species
GGGUUGUGAGGUUAAGCGACUAAGCGUACACGGUGGAUGCCCUGGCAGUCAGAGGCGAUGAAGGGCGUGCUAAUCUGCGAUAAGCGCCGGUAAGGUGAUAUGAACCGUUAUAACCGGCGAUACCCGAAUGGGGAAACCCAGUGUGAUUCGUCACACUAUCAUUAACUGAAUCCAUAGGUUAAUGAGGCGAACCGGGGGAACUGAAACAUCUAAGUACCCCGAGGAAAAGAAAUCAACCGAGAUUCCCCAGUAGCGGCGAGCGAACGGGGAGGAGCCCAGAGCCUGAAUCAGCAUGUGUGUUAGUGGAAGCGUCUGGAAAGGCGCGCGAUACAGGGUGACAGCCCCGUACACAAAAGCGCAUGUGCUGUGAGCUCGAUGAGUAGGGCGGGACACGUGGUAUCCUGUCUGAAUAUGGGGGGACCAUCCUCCAAGGCUAAAUACUCCUGACUGACCGAUAGUGAACCAGUACCGUGAGGGAAAGGCGAAAAGAACCCCGGCGAGGGGAGUGAAAAAGAACCUGAAACCGUGUACGUACAAGCAGUGGGAGCACCCUUCGGGGUGUGACUGCGUACCUUUGUAUAAUGGGUCAGCGACUUAUAUUCUGUAGCAAGGUUAACCGUAUAGGGGAGCCGCAGGAAACCGAGUCUUAAUUGGGCGUUAAGUUGCAGGGUAUAGACCCGAAACCCGGUGAUCUAGCCAUGGGCAGGUUGAAGGUUGGGUAACACUAACUGGAGGACCGAACCGACUAAUGUUGAAAAAUUAGCGGAUGACCUGUGGCUGGGGGUGAAAGGCCAAUCAAACCGGGAGAUAGCUGGUUCUCCCCGAAAGCUAUUUAGGUAGCGCCUCGUGAAUUCAUCUCCGGGGUAGAGCACUGUUUCGGCUAGGGGGCCAUCCCGGCUUACCAACCCGAUGCAAACUGCGAAUACCGGAGAAUGUUAUCACGGGAGACACACGGCGGGUGCUAACGUCCGUCGUGAAGAGGGAAACAACCCAGACCGCCAGCUAAGGUCCCAAAGUCAUGGUUAAGUGGGAAACGAUGUGGGAAGGCCCAGACAGCCGGAUGUUGGCUUAGAAGCAGCCAUCAUUUAAAGAAAGCGUAAUAGCUCACUGGUCGAGUCGGCCUGCGCGGAAGAUGUAACGGGGCUAAACCAUGCACCGAAGCUGCGGCAGCGACACUGUGUGUUGUUGGGUAGGGGAGCGUUCUGUAAGCCUGCGAAGGUGGCCUGUGAGGGUUGCUGGAGGUAUCAGAAGUGCGAAUGCUGACAUAAGUAACGAUAAAGCGGGUGAAAAGCCCGCUCGCCGGAAGACCAAGGGUUCCUGUCCAACGUUAAUCGGGGCAGGGUGAGUCGACCCCUAAGGCGAGGCCGAAAGGCGUAGUCGAUGGGAAACGGGUUAAUAUUCCCGUACUUGGUGUUACUGCGAAGGGGGACGGAGAAGGCUAUGUUGGCCGGGCGACGGUUGUCCCGGUUUAAGCGUGUAGGUGUGUGUUCCAGGUAAAUCCGGUUCACUUUAACACUGAGGCGUGACGACGAGGCACUACGGUGCUGAAGCAACAAAUGCCCUGCUUCCGGAAAAGCCUCUAAGCAUCAGGUAACAUCAAAUCGUACCCCAAACCGACACAGGUGGUCAGGUAGAGAAUACCAAGGCGCUUGAGAGAACUCGGGUGAAGGAACUAGGCAAAAUGGUGCCGUAACUUCGGGAGAAGGCACGCUGACACGUAGGUGAAGUGAUUUACUCAUGGAGCUGAAGUCAGUCGAAGAUACCAGCUGGCUGCAACUGUUUAUUAAAAACACAGCACUGUGCAAACACGAAAGUGGACGUAUACGGUGUGACGCCUGCCCGGUGCCGGAAGGUUAAUUGAUGGGGUCAGCGCAAGCGAAGCUCCUGAUCGAAGCCCCGGUAAACGGCGGCCGUAACUAUAACGGUCCUAAGGUAGCGAAAUUCCUUGUCGGGUAAGUUCCGACCUGCACGAAUGGCGUAAUGAUGGCCGGCUGUCUCCACCCGAGACUCAGUGAAAUUGAACUCGCUGUGAAGAUGCAGUGUACCCGCGGCAAGACGGAAAGACCCCGUGAACCUUUACUAUAGCUUGACACUGAACAUUGAGCCUUGAUGUGUAGGAUAGGUGGGAGGCUUUGAAGCGUGGACGCCAGUCUGCGUGGAGCCGACCUUGAAAUACCACCCUUUAAUGUUUGAUGUUCUAACGUGGACCCGUAAUCCGGGUUGCGGACAGUGUCUGGUGGGUAGUUUGACUGGGGCGGUCUCCUCCUAAAGAGUAACGGAGGAGCACGAAGGUUGGCUAAUCCUGGUCGGACAUCAGGAGGUUAGUGCAAUGGCAUAAGCCAGCUUGACUGCGAGCGUGACGGCGCGAGCAGGUGCGAAAGCAGGUCAUAGUGAUCCGGUGGUUCUGAAUGGAAGGGCCAUCGCUCAACGGAUAAAAGGUACUCCGGGGAUAACAGGCUGAUACCGCCCAAGAGUUCAUAUCGACGGCGGUGUUUGGCACCUCGAUGUCGGCUCAUCACAUCCCGGGGCUGAAGUAGGUCCCAAGGGUAUGGCUGUUCGCCAUUUAAAGUGGUACGCGAGCUGGGUUUAGAACGUCGUGAGACAGUUCGGUCCCUAUCUGCCGUGGGCGCUGGAGAACUGAGGGGGCUGCUCCUAGUACGAGAGGACCGGAGUGGACGCAUCACUGGUGUUCGGGUUGUCAUGCCAAUGGCACUGCCCGGUAGCUAAAUGCGGAAGAGAUAAGUGCUGAAAGCAUCUAAGCACGAAACUUGCCCCGAGAUGAGUUCUCCCUGAGACUUAAAGUCUCCUGAAGGAACGUUGAAGACGACGACGUUGAUAGGCCGGGUGUGUAAGCGCAGCGAUGCGUUGAGCUAACCGGUACUAAUGAACCGUGAGGCUUAACCUUACAACGCCGAAG